AUAAAUGGCUGCAUGCAUGCAAACUAUAAUAUACCCAAUUUACUAUUGCUGAAGUUUUCUUCAAGCUCAACAGAUCCGAUAAUUUUACAGCUACAAUAUUGACAAUGGCAUGCAUAAAUGCACCAAUGUACAAAUUAUUCACUGCAUUUGGAUACCGAUAUGGAAGAGGAUCGAGAUAUAGGAGAUUGGAAGGAAAUCGGCCACUAUCGGAAAUGAAUUUGAAAGGGACCUAAAAUUCAUUAUCAGUAUAUUCAUUGGUAUACUCGAUGAGAAAAGAAUUUGAUACAUGAUCUUUUCGUCCUUCUGUUAGAGUCGUCUUUCCGUUUUGGUUUUGUAUUCACAACUGGUCCUGAACUGUCUGACAGGAUUUAUUGAAACUUUCACUUUUGCACUUCUUAAAUUUUUUCUUCAGAAUGAUUUUUGUGUUUACUUUUGAAUGACUUUGACAUUGUCAUUUCAGUAAUUACAGUAUUCAUAUGUAUCCACAUCCUGUCCUAAAUCGAUUUCUAAUUUUGGAAAAAAAGACCUUAUGCACCACUUAUUUCUUUAUAUAUCAGCAUUGCCGUAGUACAUCUAAUUGUUGAUUAGGACAGAAAAGUGUAGUCCUUGUU
rnacentral:lncRNA from 1 species